rnacentral:tRNA from 3 species
GCCCGGGUAGCUCAGUUGGUUAGAGCCGUCGACUCAUAAUCGAUAGGUCGCGGGUUCAAGUCCCGCCCUGGGCA